ACGUCCAGCAGAUCGUGGCGGGCGAGAUCGAUGCCUUCGUGCGGCGCCAUCGCGGCACGUCCUUGCCGCCCGUCGAUCUCGCGAUGCGGAUGCGC
rnacentral:tRNA from 1 species